rnacentral:rRNA from 1 species
AUGGGGGCGAAAAUAGAUCGUUCAGUAAAUAAUGGUGGUGGUCCAAACAUUUUUAAAAUCUCCGGCGGUAUAUGUCAUCGGAUGGGAUCUCUUUUGCCACAGGAAGGGAAUGCUCCAAAAUUUGCAGAGCUGUAUGUGUUUCAUGGUGGAAAUGAGAUUGAUAAUCGAAUUCAGGCUUUAAACAAGGAAGAUAGAAUUCUGGGUGGGUUAGAUAAGGAUAUUGUUAAUGGUCUGAAGCUCAUGCUUGAUGAGCACAAUUCUCUUGUAAAAAAAUUCCGCAUCGCUAAGGAGAUCUUGGCUGAGAAUGAAUUUGCUGAAAUUUCUAUUCGUAUAGUUGCUCCUGGCAAAGAUGAUGGCCCUCAGUUUAAUCUUCCUUCCACGGAUGAGCUUGCAUGCUUAGUUGUUGGUGAAUUAACAUUGGAAACUCCUAGCCGUGAUAUAAUAAUACAUGGUAGGGGAACACAUUUGCAGCGAAUUUCGUCUUUACAUCCUGCUUAUAUGGCUUUACAAUACCCUCUACUCUUUCCGUUCGGUGAGCGUGGAUUUCAGCUUGGUGUGAAAUACAUAGCGGUAGAUCACGAAGGUUCCAACAAAAGAGAGAAAAUGACCAUGCAGGAUUUUUAUUGUUUUUGUUCACACUAUAAAGAAGGCCAGCAUAACCCUUGUUUGUCUUGUGGUCUGUUGUCUGAUCAGGCAGUUGUAGAUUCUCGUGUAUGCACAGAUGAGUCCAGGCUACAUUUUAUUUUGCUAUGCAACGAUGAUCUGAGAGCUGAGAAUUUACAAGGGCUUGUAGAUGCGGUUGGAGUGGGCCGCAUAGAUGGAAGUUCAGUUGGUAAAAAAAAAAUAUUGCCCUCUUCUUUUACUGGUGGACGCCGUUAUAUGAUCGAAAAUUUUCAGGAUGCGGUGGUUAUCGCCUGUGUGCAUGGUUGUCCUGAUCUUUUUACUACUUUCACAUGUAAUCCUAAGUGGCCUGAGAUAACGGAAGCUCUUUCUGUUGAACCUGGCCAGAGACCACACAAUAGGGCUGAUAUUACUGUUAGGGUGUACCACAUGAAACUUAAUGAGUACCUUCGUGAUAUUAGAUCUGGCAAGGCGUACGGCAAAGUGGUCACAGGUAAUGCAACCUGUUGCUUACUUUCUCUGUGGAGAUUUUUUUUUUGUUUAACUUGA